GAUCCUGGCUCAGGAUGAACGCUAGCUACAGGCUUAACACAUGCAAGUCGAGGGGCAGCAUGGGCGUCGCUUGCGAUGCCUGAUGGCGACCGGCGCACGGGUGAGUAACGCGUAUCCAACCUGCCCCGAACCGCGGUAUAGCCCGCCGAAAGGCGGAUUAAUCCCGCAUGAGGUCGUGAGACGGUAUCAGACCACGACCAAGGUUGAUUCCGGUUCGGGAUGGGGAUGCGUCCGAUUAGGCAGCAGGCGGGUAACGGCCCACCUGGCCACCGAUCGGUAGGGGUUCUGAGAGGAAGGUCCCCCACAUUGGAACUGAGACACGGUCCAAACUCCUACGGGAGGCAGCAGUGAGGAAUAUUGGUCAAUGGGCGGUAGCCUGAACCAGCCCAAGUAGCGUGUGGGACGACGGCCCUACGGGUUGUAAACCACUUUUUCGCGGGGAUAACAUCCGGGACUUGUCCCGGCUUGCAGGUACCGCGUGAAUAAGGACCGGCUAAUUCCGUGCCAGCCGCUGC
rnacentral:rRNA from 1 species